rnacentral:rRNA from 1 species
UACGGAGGAUCCAAGCGUUAUCCGGAUUUAUUGGGUUUAAAGGGUGCGCAGGCGGAAUGAUAAGUCAGUGGUGAAAUUCUACGGCUCAACUGUAGGACUGCCAUUGAUACUGUUGUUCUUGAGUAUAUUUGAAGUGGGCGGAAUGUGUCAUGUAGCGGUGAAAUGCUUAGAGAUGACACAGAACACCAAUUGCGUAGGCAGCUCACUAAACUAUAACUGACGCUCAGGCACGAAAGCGUGGGGAU